rnacentral:rRNA from 1 species
GAUGAACGCUGGCGGCGUGCCUAAUACAUGCAAGUCGAGCGAACAGAUGAGGAUCUUGCUCCUCUGACGUUAGCGGCGGACGGGUGAGUAACACGUGGAUAACCUACCUAUAAGACUUGGAUAACUUCGUGAAACCGGAUCUAAUACCGGAUAAUAUAUUGAACCGCAUGGUUCAAUAGUUAAAGACGGUUUUUCUUUCACUUAUCGAUGUUUCCUCGCCGCAUUAGCUAGUUGGUAAGGUAACGGCUUACCAAGGCAACGAUGCGUAGCCGACCUGAGAGGGUGAUCGGCAACACUGGAACUGAGACACGGACCAGACUAAUACGGGAGGCAGCAGUAGGGAAUCUUACGCAAUGGGCGAAAGCUUGACGGAGCAACGCCGCGUGAGUGAUGAAGGUCUUCGGAUCGUAAAACUCUGUUAUUAGGGAAGAACAAAUGUGUAAGUAACUAUGCACGGAUUGACGGUACCUAAUCAGAAAGCAACGGCUAACUACGUG